GUUGCGGUGGUAGGGGCUGAUCGCGCCCUCGCCGGUGUCGUGGGCGAAGCCGCCCUUGGCGGCGCCGCGGUUGAGCGCCUCGAUCGCGUUG
rnacentral:tRNA from 1 species